rnacentral:rRNA from 1 species
UGGGGAAUAUUGGACAAUGGGCGCAAGCCUGAUCCAGCCAUGCCGCGUGAGUGAUGAAGGCCCUAGGGUUGUAAAGCUCUUUCACCGGUGAAGAUAAUGACGGUAACCGGAGAAGAAGCCCCGGCUAACUUCGUGCCAGCAGCCGCGGUAAUACGAAGGGGGCUAGCGUUGUUCGGAUUUACUGGGCGUAAAGCGCACGUAGGCGGACUUUUAAGUCAGGGGUGAAAUCCCGGGGCUCAACCCCGGAACUGCCUUUGAUACUGGAAGUCUUGAGUAUGGUAGUGGUUAGUGGAAUUCCGAGUGUAGAGGUGAAAUUCGUAGAUAUUCGGGGGAACACCAGUGGCGAAGGCGGCUCACUGGACCAUUACUGACGCUGAGGUGCGAAAGCGUGGGGAGCAAACAGG